GGGACACGUGGUAUCCUGUCUGAAUAUGGGGGGACCAUCCUCCAAGGCUAAAUACUCCUGACUGACCGAUAGUGAACCAGUACCGUGAGGGAAAGGCGAAAAGAACCCCGGCGAGGGGAGUGAAAAAGAACCUGAAACCGUGUACGUACAAGCAGUGGGAGCACCUUCGGGUGUGACUGCGUACCUUUUGUAUAAUGGGUCAGCGACUUAUAUUCUGUAGCAAGGUUAACCGUAUAGGGGAGCCGCAGGGAAACCGAGUCUUAACUGGGCGUUAAGUUGCAGGGUAUAGACCCGAAACCCGGUGAUCUAGCCAUGGGCAGGUUGAAGGUUGGGUAACACUAACUGGAGGACCGAACCGACUAAUGUUGAAAAAUUAGCGGAUGACUUGUGGCUGGGGGUGAAAGGCCAAUCAAACCGGGAGAUAGCUGGUUCUCCCCGAAAGCUAUUUAGGUAGCGCCUCGUGAAUUCAUCUUCGGGGGUAGAGCACUGUUUCGGCUAGGGGGUCAUCCCGACUUACCAACCCGAUGCAAACUACGAAUACCGAAGAAUGUUAUCACGGGAGACACACGGCGGGUGCUAACGUCCGUCGUGAAGAGGGAAACAACCCAGACCGCCAGCUAAGGUCCCAAAGUCAUGGUUAAGUGGGAAACGAUGUGGGAAGGCACAGACAGCCAGGAUGUUGGCUUAGAAGCAGCCAUCAUUUAAAGAAAGCGUAAUAGCUCACUGGUCGAGUCGGCCUGCGCGGAAGAUGUAACGGGGCUAAACCAUGCACCGAAGCUGCGGCAGCGACACUAUGUGUUGUUGGGUAGGGGAGCGUUCUGUAAGCCUGCGAAGGUGUGCUGUGAGGCAU
rnacentral:rRNA from 1 species